rnacentral:rRNA from 1 species
AAGGAUCAUUGUUGAACCUUU